rnacentral:rRNA from 1 species
GGUGCGUAACACGUAGCUGACCUGCCCUUCGCAGGGGGAUAACACAGCGAAAGUUGUGCUAAUACCGCGUAGGCUGGUGGGGCUUAGAAGCCCAUCAGUAAAGCGAAUGCGGCGAAGGAGGGGGCUGCGGUCCAUCAGCUCGCUGGUGAGGUAACGGCUCACCAGGGCGACGACGGAUAGGGGGCCUGAGAGGGUGACCCCCCACACUGGAACUGAGACACGGUCCAGACUCCUACGGGAGGCAGCAGUAAGGAAUAUUGCACAAUGGGCGCAAGCCUGAUGCAGCAACGCCGCGUGAGGGAUGAAGGGUUUCGGCUCGUAAACCUCUUUUCUGUGUGAAGAGCAAGGACGGUAGCACAGGAAUAAGUCUCGGCUAACUACGUGCCAGCAGCCGCGGUAAAACGUAGGAGGCGAGCGUUAUCCGGAAUUACUGGGCGUAAAGCGCACGUAGGCGGCGCUGCAAGUGGUGCGUGAAAGCUCCCGGCUCAACUGGGAGAGGCCGUACCAAACUGCGGUGCUAGAGACAGAUAGAGGUCGACAGAAUUCCGGGUGGAGUGGUGAAAUGCGUAGAGAUCCGGAGGAAUACCAGAGGCGAAGGCGGUCGGCUGGGUCUGUUCUGACGCUGAGGUGCGAAAGUGUGGGGAGCGAACGGGAUUAGAAACCCCGGUAGUCCACACCGUAAACGAUGCAUACUAGUUGUUAGGUGCCUACGGGCGCUGAGUGACGAAGCCAACGCGUUAAGUAUGCCGCCUGGGGAGUACGGUCGCAAGGCUAAAACUCAAAGGAAUUGACGGGGGCCCGCACAAGCAGCGGAGCGUGUGGUUUAAUUCGAGGCUACGCGAAGAACCUUACCUGGGCUUGACAUGAUAGUAGUACCCUGGUGGAAACAUCGGGGGACCUUCGGGAGCUAUCACAGGUGCUGCAUGGCUGUCGUCAGCUCGUGCCGUGAGGUGUUCGGUUAAGUGUGAAAACGAGAGCAACUCCGGGCGUUAGUUACAAGUGUCUAACGAGACUGCCCGGGGAAACUGGGAGGAAGGUG